UACGGGGGGAGCAAGCGUUGUUCGGAUUUACUGGGCGUAAAGGGCGCGUAGGCGGCCACCGCAAGUCAAUUGUGAAAUCUCCGGGCUUAACUCGGAAAGGUCAACUGAUACUGCGGGGCUAGAGUGCAGAAGGGGCAACUGGAAUUCUCGGUGUAGCGGUGAAAUGCGUAGAUAUCGAGAGGAACACCUGCGGCGAAGGCGGGUUGCUGGACUGACACUGACGCUGAGGCGCGAAAGCUAGGGGAGCGAACGGG
rnacentral:rRNA from 1 species